rnacentral:rRNA from 1 species
UGCAAGUCGAACGAUGAAGCUUCUAGCUUGCUAGAAGUGGAUUAGUGGNGNACGGGUGAGGAAUAUAUAGCUAAUGUGCCCCUUAGAGGGGGAUAACAGUUGGAAACGACUACUAAUACCCCAUACUCCUUCUUGUUAUAAGACAAGUCGGGAAAGUUUUUUCGCUAAGGGAUCGGGCUAUACGGUAUCAGCUUGUUGGUGAGGUAAUGGCUCACCAAGGCUAUGACGCCUAUCUGGUCUGAGAGGAUGAUCAGACACACUGGAACUGAGACACGGUCCAGACUCCUACGGGAGGCAGCAGUGGGGAAUAUUGCACAAUGGAGGAAACUCUGAUGCAGCAACGCCGCGUGGAGGAUGACACAUUUCGGUGCGUAAACUCCUUUUAUGUGAGAAGAUAAUGACGGUAUCACAUGAAUAAGCACCGGCUAACUCCGUGCCAGCAGCCGCGGUAAUACGGAGGGUGCAAGCGUUACUCGGAAUCACUGGGCGUAAAGCGCGCGCAGGCGGCCUUUCAAGUUGGAUGUGAAAUCCUAUGGCUCAACCAUAGAACUGCAUCCAAAACUGUUAGGCUAGAGUCUGGGAGGGGAAGAUGGAAUUAGUUGUGUAGGGGUAAAAUCCGUAGAGAUAACUAGGAAUACCAAAAGCGAAGGCGAUCUUCUGGAACAGUACUGACGCUGAGGCGCGAAAGCGUGGGGAGCAAACAGGAUUAGAUACCCUGGUAGUCCACGCCCUAAACGAUGAAUGUUAGUCGUCGGGGAGCUAGUCUCUUCGGUGAUGCAGCUAACGCAUUAAACAUUCCGCCUGGGGAGUACGGUCGCAAGAUUAAAACUCAAAGGAAUAGACGGGGACCCGCACAAGUGGUGGAGCAUGUGGUUUAAUUCGAAGAUAC